AAGUCGUAACAAGGUUUCCGUAGGUGAACCUGCGGAAGGAUCAUUAACACGUAUCCAAACGUUACUCCAUGCCCCCUAAUAACCCCACAGUUUAAUGUGAAGCUCAAUGUAAUACAUUGGGUAAAAAAACCGAACAACUGUUAACAAUGGAUAUCUUGGUUUCUC
rnacentral:misc_RNA from 1 species